CAAGAAACUUACAAUGAUUCUUAAUGUUUUCUGAGUACUUGGCUUUAUUUACUGACUAAGGAAGCAGCAUAAUAAGCAAAAGAAUUAAAGACAUGAGGCAAGAGAAAAAAAGCAAAACCUGAUUUCCAUCAAUACCAUUCCUUAUACCCUUCUACUGUCAGGCCAAAAACCAAGAAUGAUAUGUGACAAUUUUUCCCAGUGUUGGUCAAAACUUUUUUGUCUUGAAGGAAUACGAUAAAAUAAACCAUGACCCUACUGAAAAAUGAGAUAUUCUAUUAAUUCUGUGAAGAAGAAAUGCAUACAUCAGAAAUGAAUGGAUAGAGAGACUGGGAGUUGUCGUCCCUUUUUAAAGAAUCUUUCAAAACUUCAUUGAAGACCUCAUUCAACAUCCAACAAACAUUUAUCUUUUUACAAUUUGUUGUACUGCCUUCUAGAGAAGUUCAGUUGUACAGAAUUCAUGGUGAUAUUAAGACGGAACAAAGAAAAGAGAAAACUGCAAGGGCUGAGAGAACCUGGUCAAUGGUAAAAGAGUGUCCUAAUAAUAA